UCCUGGUUGGCUGAGUCGGUUAAGCGUCUGACUUUGGCUCAGGUCAUGAUCUCACAGUUGGUGGGUUCGAGCCCCGUGUCAGGCU
rnacentral:tRNA from 1 species